rnacentral:rRNA from 1 species
GGAUUAGAUACCCUGGUAGUCCACGCAGUAAACGAUGUACACUAGGUGUGGCGGAUAUUAAAAUCUGCUGUGCCCAAGCUAACGCAUUAAGUGUACCGCCUGGGGAGUACGGUCGCAAGACUAAAACUCAAAGGAAUUGACGGGGGCCCGCACAAGCGGUGGAGCAUGUGGUUUAAUUCGACGCAACGCGAAGAACCUUACCUGGGUUUGACAUCCUGUGAAUCUUCCUUAAACGGAAGAGUGCCUUCGGGAGCACAGAGACAGGUGCUGCAUGGCUGUCGUCAGCUCGUGCUG